rnacentral:rRNA from 1 species
AUUGAACGCUGGCGGCAGGCCUAACACAUGCAAGUCGAGCGGAUGAGUGGAGCUUGCUCCAUGAUUCAGCGGCGGACGGGUGAGUAAUGCCUAGGAAUCUGCCUGGUAGUGGGGGACAACGUUUCGAAAGGAACGCUAAUACCGCAUACGUCCUACGGGAGAAAGCAGGGGACCUUCGGGCCUUGCGCUAUCAGAUGAGCCUAGGUCGGAUUAGCUAGUAGGUGAGGUAAUGGCUCACCUAGGCGACGAUCCGUAACUGGUCUGAGAGGAUGAUCAGUCACACUGGAACUGAGACACGGUCCAGACUCCUACGGGAGGCAGCAGUGGGGAAUAUUGGACAAUGGGCGAAAGCCUGAUCCAGCCAUGCCGCGUGCAGGAUGACGGUCCUAUGGAUUGUAAACUGCUUUGUACAGGAAGAAACACUAGGUUCGUG